CCCAUGGUCAAAUGAAAUGAAUUGAUAGAGAGGUGUUGGGUCAAAUCCAUAGAAUUAGGAAUCAGAAUGGAUCAUAACAGGAGUGGUGUGAUGGAAAACAUCCAAUCAUGUUGAUUUGAUCAACAUUGGUGUCAUAUUGGCUUAGAUGUGAUGGUAGGAAGAUUUGAAUUUCACAUUGACAUAAAUCAAUGCCUACUAAUAAUUAAAUAGUGUCUCUAUGGUUAAAUCCUGGAUUUAACCAUAGAGACAUAAAUCCUACUACUACUGGCCCAAAGCGAGCAGCUCCGGCACCAUAUAGGCCUACUCCCCCUUGCGGCAGUGAUCCCGGUUCAAACCCCACAUGAGCCCUGCUGCUCCUAUCCUGUCAUUAAAUAAUUAUUAUGGAAAGUAGUUUGGAAAUUCUCCUUUGUAAAAAAAUAAAAAGCACUAGUACUAGGUAGAGAGGUAAGUUUGUAAACAAAGGCACUGCGUAAACAUUACUAGGCCAGGUUCAAUUGAAUUUCAGCCUAAGUCCCCUCCUUUUAAAACAAUUACAGUAGUUAGAAAGACAUCUUGACAAUAUGGAUAUUUCACAAAUCUAUAGUUAAGACUGGUGCAUCAAAAUGAAGGUGUGUUCUUAACAAGAGCCGUGUCCUCUGUCCAGAACGAAAGGCAAGAUAAAUAACAGUAAACUAGAUCAAUUAUGGAAAAUAAAUCAUUAUUGCUGGUAACACUGGUAAUACUGUCACAACUGAAACUGAAUACAAUAUGAUAGACAUGUUAUAAACGUGUUAUAUACAUCUUAUAAACAUUUAUAUGCAGUAAGAAAGCAGCAUUCCACUGCAAUGAGGGAAACUAUUGCCUAUCAAUCUACUGCUUAUCAAUCUACUGCUUAUCAAUCUACUGCUUAUUAAUCUAUUGCAUAUCAAUCUAUUGCCUGUCAAUCUAUUGCUUAUUAAUCUAUUGCCUAUCAAUCAACUGCCUAUCAAUCUACUGCCUAUCAAUCUACUGCCUAUCAAUCUACUGCCUAUCAAUCUACUGCUUAUCAAUCUACUGCUUAUUAAUCUAUU
rnacentral:lncRNA from 13 species